rnacentral:piRNA from 1 species
UGACUAGUAGUACGUUUAGGUCACUCCC